UUUAGGCAUUAUGAGCCUUCCAUACUCUCAAAAUUACUUCGGCGAGCAGAGCUUUUUCUUACGAGUCUUUCCUUUUGGUUAUAUUUUUCCUAUAGCCAUGAUCCAUCCAGUUGCUAAUUUCCGGAGACGUGUUUACAUUAAUUUUGUUGCUUGACUAGAUUGCCUUCGUCCAGGGACACAAGAUGAAGGUGUGCUCUAUAGACUCGAGACCCUCGCCAUAUAAGGGACACUCUUGUUUUGGUAAGAUCUUCCUUUUGUGUAAAUUUUCCUUCAUAGGUAGGGCAUUAUUGCACACACUCCAUAGUAAAAAUUUGAGUUUAGGGUAUGUUUAAAGUUUCCAGAUCUCAGUCCAUAAUUUCCUAGGAGUUUGGUAUGGGCUGAUUAUGAAAGAGCUAGUACCAACACCUAGAGGGGGUGAAUAGGUGUAUACAAAAUUUUUCGCAAAACUUAGUAAAAGUAAAUUGCUUUUAGUAGAUAAUAGAAUGAUGACGUAAUUAGCUUUGAACAAUUAAAUAAAGUUACGAAUUAAAGUAAGGAGUUUAUGGAAAGAGAAUAGAAACACAAAGUUUAUAGUGGUUCGUCUUAGAUCAAGCCUACGUCCAUUCUCUCGCACUGAUGGCACACUAGCUGGAUUUUACUAUGAAUCAAAAGAGGUUUUAUAGUCUCAUGAUUUUGACUUCACAGUGUAGAAACUUUAUUACACUCUUCCGAAGUUCUCAUAAGUGUAAGCUCUCUCAUUUGAGUAUAAUUUGAGCUUAACAAUUGAAACAGCAAAGAACUAGGAAGCUUCAGACUUUGAAAUUUUUAUUGCAUACAUUUUCAAACAACUAGAGAGUCCGCCUUAAAUACUCCUCCAUGCCUUUACAACCGUUGGCACUUUCCAGAGGAGUUCUUCCAAUUUACUCAUUGGACAGAACCAAUUAAGGUAAUUUCGAGUUGUUUAAAGAAUGUGAUGAUAACCCAUCAAUCAUGCUCGCCCAUACAAUCAGGAUCUUGGUUUCCAUAAGUAAAACAUUCCAAGUAUACUUCGCCUUUCAAAAGAUCUUCAUAUCGGAGUAGAUUCCAAUAAGAAUAAUCAAUCAAGUAGAUGCUAUAUCUAGCCAAAAGGUCUUCGAAAAACAUAAGAACCGAAUUCUUGAACAUAAUCCUGCAUCUUGAUAAGUCUUCAUUCUUCGGUUUGGAAACUGUCAGCGAUGGCAGACUUUGGGAUCAAAGUCUAGCGGUCUUCAGACUUUGAAAGUAGAGUCUGGAGUUCUUCAGAUUAUAACACCUAAGUUUGCAAGUCUUCAGAUGAGACUUUUGGAAAUGUUUUGUCAGCUACAAAACAAUAAAUGAGUUUUCUCUAACAAUCUCUCCCUUUUUUAUGGUGGCAAAAUUUUCCUGCAGAUUUGAAAAUUUUUGACUUGCAAAACAACACUUAAGCAAAAAGUGAUAUCUUACAAAAACAAGUUGAUUAGAACCUAGAUAGCAUCGAUUCUGCAACCACAGAAAAACAUGCUAAUCCUGCAUGAUAAAUAACUAUCCAGCCACAAUCAAAACCACAAACUUAGUUGCUACAAGCAUUAAAAAGAUUCAAAAUCAAACAGCAAUCAAAAGUCCAAAGUAUACCAGUCCAAAAUAUCAAGCAAAAAGUAAUCAAUCCAAGCCAAAAGUACCAAAAUAAGUAUCAAAAGAAGUCAAAUCCAAAUCUGCACAAACUCUUCCCUUUUUUGUCAUCAGCAAAAAGUGGAGAAAAACUUGAAAAAAUUGCGUACAAUCAUGGCUAUUUGAAGAUGCGAAAGAUCUGGAAAUCCCCCAUAGACUUGACAAUCUCCUUCAGCCUCCUCAGGUCCUCAUUCAGUUGCUCAAUAUCCUCACCCUUUGUAGUGGCUUGAACUUGAAGCUUAAGGGCUUGUACUCGAUCGUGUAGAGAGACUGAAGUGGCUUGAUGUGCUGACUGCAUGUUCUAAAAUUCACACUCCAAUCCAUAAAGUUGAGCUUUGAUCUCCACAAGAAGCUCGAGCAGUCUCUUAAAGUCUGCUGUAUUAUUUGUUUGAGUACUCACUUCAGCACGAUCGGUUUGGGGAGUGUUAAUUGAUGAUGGAACCUCAGCUGGAACAUCCGGAUUUGGAGAUAAUGCCUCAACACUAGCUUCGGGAAAAUUGAGAGGCUUACACAUCCUCUAGAUUGGCAGGAGAACGACUAACAUCAUCACUAGUAAAAGCAAGUGAAGAAGUACCUCUUUUAUCAGCAGCUCCCCUUGUUUCUGUACCUACAUGUGGAGAAAAGAAUUCUUCUUCAUGUUCUUCUUCAGCACUGUGAUGAUGUUUUUCUCUUUCUUCUUCUGCAUUUCCGCUCCUUGUCUUGUCCAAGUCAUUGGACAAGGAUGCAGCAAAAGUCGGUUCAAGAGAAUCAUCUUGACCCUCUUCUUCUUCUUCUUCUCUUUCUCCUUCUUCCUCCUCUGUUCUUCUUUCUUCUCCUUCUUCUCCUCUCUUCUUUGUCUCUUCUCUUCCUCUGGUCUCUAUGUCCUCUGGCUCUUGAAAGUUAACAAAACUCUAUAAAUUCUUUAAGGCAAAAGUGGAGAGAGUAAUGUCAUUCUCAUCUUCUUCAUCCUAUAAGAUGAGCGCUCUUCUCUUCUUGAUUGGUUCGUCAUUCUCAUCUUCUUCAUUCUCAGUCUUGUCUGGCCUUGAUAGGGGACUUUUCCUUAAUGCUCUCCAAAACCUUGUUCAGCUCCUUCAAAUGCAUCUUGGAAACCAUCUUUAGUCCAACUACCAUUGGAGCAAUGGUUCGAACGCACAUAAUAUUAGGAGGCCGAAUGUUGAAAUGUCUGAAUAAUCGAGUAACAAGAGUAGAAUAAGGAAGUUGCCCAUUGUCCUUCACAAUUGUCCUAUACAUGUGCAUUAGGAUAGUGUGAGACAGUGAGAACUUGAAACCAAUGUUGAUCGCAUACAUCAGCUUCGCUUCAGAGUUUGAGACAUCAAUUUUUGAAGUGGAUUUGAGUUUGAGAUAGUUGAUCAUAAUCUUGUGAAGCAAAAUAUUGAAGGCAUUCAUUCUAGAAUAAGAAAUCCUGCCUUCAGCAAUCCUAUCUCAAACAAGUGCCAAGGUUGCGUGACCAACAGACACAUUGAUUGGUUGGAAACUCACUCUUUCCACACCAAUCACACCCGCCAAGGUGUUUACAUCCACCACAAAUUCUUUGUCCCUAACUGUAAAAGAAAAUCUAUUCACAUCUAGAAAAGAAAGAUUUGAAUAGAAGUAAGCCUUAAAUUCUGGGUAGGCGACAGUCGUCUCAGAGCAAAAACAUUCAAGUUGAAGGAGUGCAAACUUCUCUCUCAAUUUCACUAUCAACGAAUCAAGAAAAUCGAAGUCCACACUUUAGGGUUCAUCAUCCCUCGCUUCAACAGUUUCGAAUAAGUCCUCCUGUGGUCCUUAGAACGAAAAAGGUCUGUCCUUUCAUCACGAAUAUUUACAGCAAUGCCCAUCCUAGGCUCGAAGAAUGCACGUGGCUCAGUGAUAAGGAAUAUCGCCUUGGAGAAUACACGUGGCUCGGUGAUUGGUUCUAUCAGUUGAGAUUGGAUAAUAAUGGCUAGAAUGAUCGAAAAAUGGUCAGAUUGACAUGUAAUCGACUAGGUCAAUUGAUCAAUACUUCGAUCUGUGAUGAUUGAUUGGGUGUCUAUUGAACUGUAUUGAAUUGUAGGUGGAAUCUAAAGCCAAUGUAAGUCUUCUGACCAGUGUUGUGCAUAAGUAGCCCUUAUGGCAUAUUGGCCUUCUAAUCGAGUCUUAGAGGAUAGAAUUUGCUGAGACAUUGUCUCACUAGUUAUUGAAUAACCAUUUUCAAGUUCUUAGACGGCAUUGGUGAAGGACCUGAGGCCCGAAGUGUAGAAGGUGAAGCUUGAAGAAUUGACGAUUCUAUUGGACUAGUUAGUCAUAGGACAAUUCUUUUUUGAUGGGAGUCGAUUCCCUUUUUGCAGACUUUGUUUUAUGAAUAGGUGGUUUAAAACCUAACUCAAUAAUUCACCUUGUAUAUAUUUGCACUAUGAUUUGCAAUAUAUAUAAGUGUGGUUGCUUUUAAAGUGUGAAAACUUGGAGUCCUGCUUUUCUAUCCCAAUGUUUUAUUGUCUAGGGAUUAAUUUAUAUGCUUCCGCAUGCGUAUUAAAAAGAAAGGGUCAGUGAUGUGUCUUGGGAUGUCACUAUUAAUCGACCAGGUGAGGGAUGGGCGUCCGCUCAAGGAUCGAGGCGUGACAAUUAAACUUCCUAGGGGUAAUAGUUGAAAAAUGAAUAUGUUGUUUCCGACAAUGUUUGCCGUGUUUUUACUAUCCCUAUGUUUGUUGUUGACUGGGUGUUUAUUUAAUUUGCUUCCACAUGUGUUUAAUUGAAAGAAAAAAAAGAAUGGGUCGGCGACGCGUCCUAGGACGUUGCAUUUUUAAUCGACCGCCGAGGGAUGCGUGCGUACCCGGGGUUUGGGGCAUGACAAGGACAACUAGGUUUAAUGUGUCCUCGCUUCUUGCACUCGAAACAAACUAUGUCUUUAUUGUUAUCUAUUUUAUUAAAGUUUCUCUAUUCCUCAGAUGAUUUGAAGAGUCUUUUUCCUUUGAACUUCCUUCCUUUUGUAGCCAUCUUUUAAAGCCUCUUCACCAUGAGUGUGAUUUCCUUGUCGUCUUCUUCGUCAUCUUCAGAAUCUGAAUCAUCAUAGUUAGGAUUAGAUUUUAAAGCUAUUGCCUUCUGACCUUUAGGGUGUCCUUCAUCAUUUAGACAUUCUUCCUCAUAGAAUUGGAGUGUUCCCACGAGCUCAUCCACAAAAAGAGGUGAUAUCUUCUAGGUUUCACGAAUGGACAUCUUAAUGUUGUUAUAUUCUUUUGACAGUCCACGAUGAGUCUUGUUCACUUUCAUAGGUCUGAUACAAGAGCUAACCCAUUGACAAUAUUAGCAAAUCUGUCAAACAUGUCAGUCACAGAUUCUUUUGGUUUCAUCUUGAAGGCUUCGUAUUACUGGAGAAGAAUGAUUUUCUUCGUCUCCUUAAUCCGAUCAAUUCAAUUGUAUGUUACAUGCAACUUGUCCUAAAUUUCUUUCAUUGUUUCAUAUGAAAAAAUUCGAUUAUACUUAGUAGGAGAUAAUGCAUAGUAUAAGGAAUAAACUGCUUUAACAUCUACUGCCUCUCUUUUAGUAAUGUUUACAUUAGAUAAAGCUAAGAGUUUUGGUUUUUUGCCUUCUUCUUUAGACAAAGAAGCUUAAGGUCUUAUACCUCUUAGAACUAAAUAACACUCUAGUGGAUCCUUAGAUCUGAUGAAUGCUUUCAUCUUGUUUUUCUAGAAAUUGUAAUAUUUUCCAUCGAAGUAUGGAGGCCUUAUGUCACUUUGAUCUUCCAUAAAUUCUAGUGUAAUAUUACUAGCCAUAAUAGAUCCUUAGCUUAGAAGUAAUAUAGCACUUCAAAAAUAAUGAGCACCAAGCUUUGAUACCAAUUGUUAGGACUAGAUCUAUCACCUAGAAAUAGGUAAAUAGGUGAUAUUGUGGAAAAUAGAAGAACUUCAAAAUGAUAUUGCAAAAGUACGACGUCUAGUGACAGAAAGUGCUGGUCAAAUCUUAUUAGUAUGCAAUUAAUUCUAUCACAAGUAAAAUAAAGAGAAUAAUGGAUAGAAAAUUACACGCAAAAGACUAUAGUGGUUCAGUUUUUACAAGUCUGCAUCCACUCUCCCAUGCUAGCAGCCUAUUAGUUGGAUUUCACUAUAUGAACCAAUAAGAUGUUUCAAGAUCUGAGUAAUUAUUACUGAGACUCAUGUGAAGAAGCACUCAAUCUCUAAGUGAUUACGCAAUAUUGAUCAAAUAAAAGAAUGUAUUUGAUCAGAAAUUCUCUUCAGGCUUUGGAAUUAUAAGUUUCAAUUCUCUCAUGUUGUAUAUAUUCCUUCAGCUUCAAGACCUCCUUUUAUACUUCUCCCCAUCCAAACUGACCAUUGGACAUAUCUCCAAGAGGAUUAUCUAGCUAAUUAACCUGUCGGCAUGGAUCUUGCCUAGAAGAUCUGACCACUUCAAAAUAGUCAAGAUUGAAGCUUCCUGUAGAUUCUACUGCCUUUAUAGUAGUUUAGGUUUUCAUAAGUCGAGUAUUUCAAUUUGGAAAGAAUGCUUUGCCUCAAGUCUAACAUUCCAAGAUAUCCAAAUCUUUGAGAGAUAUUUAGGAAAACUUUCCUCUGGAACUCCUUAUAUAGAAGGUAAGGAAUUCAAUCAAUCAUCACUAGACAUUGUACGAGUAUAUUGUCUCUUUCCUAACCGUUUGACAUAACAUAUAUGGAAGGAAAUAAUUAAAUCAUAACUUUUGCUCUAAUUGAUAACAUCUGAUCACAUCCUAUCAAACUUUUCACUUAAAAAAUACUUAUUGUCAUAAUUAAAGUUUUUACUCCAAAUAAGUUUUGUCAAUCUUCAAAAUUACUUAGGAAAUGAUUUCUCAACAAAAUUCAAGCUCACCACGGCAUUUGUGAUCUUGAUCAGAGGUUGUCGAGCCAGCAUGGCCUCAGAUCAAGGUCGUCCAUGGUGACUCGGCCUCAGAUCAAGAUUGUUGCUGAGUGGUGACCUUGACCAGAGGUCGUUGAUCUUGUGGUCGCCCAGCAUCUCAGGUCGCAAGACAUUGAGGAGAUAGAGAUAGAUCGGGGCCGAGAGUGAAGGGGCGAUAACACAUCAUCAUAAAAUUCUUAUAUACAAAGGUUCGGGCAAGGCUGGAUUUUUUCAUUAAAUAUUUUUACCCAAGCUAGUCUAAAAUGUCUUCGACCCCUUGUGGCUCAGGUUUUCAUGGGUUAGCCAAUGUAUAUCACGAAACUUCCUCAAAUCAUUUGUUUUGAUUGAUAGGUUUUAAAAUUGGAUAUCAACCACAUGUAAGAUCAAACGAACAUAAAUGUGCAAGAUGUCUAUGGUUGUAUCUUACUAGUCAGAAUACUAGUUAGAGAAGGAAGAAAACGUUGCCCAUUACAUAAAGAGUAAAAAUAAUAAAAGUACAUGCACUUAACGAAUCCUAAGAGAACUAGAACGCUUUUUAGCAAAAUUAGCAGCAAGACAUUCGAACUUGCUCAAAGAAAGUUUGGGCUCCAAUCCGUCUGGGCUUUCUUCCAAUGCUUCCGUGGGCUAGGAGGGCCCUGAAACGCUGGGCUCGUCCAUGGGUUUAUACGAUAUUUUCCGUAGGUACGAUGCAGAUCAUUAUUGAAAUAUCAUACUAACUAAAAGCCUGAAAUGGAAGUUACUUGUCUCGGCUCGUGGUUGUUGCCUUCAAAAGAUUUCAGAAUCAUCUGUCGUGAUGUUCUUUUGCAUUUGCUCUGCUUUCCUUUUAUGGGAGUAAAUCUUAUAAACUUCGAAAGUUCAUGUUUUCGAACAAGAAUGAAAUCAACAACAGAAAUCAAAGCCACAUGCACAUUCAAACGUAAUUCAAAGUAACUUAAGUACCCAAUAAGCUCAUGAAUAUGAAAUGUGUUUCGAAUGUCAAGAAGGCCAUUUGAAAAUUUCAGAUCUUAAAGUGGAUAGUGUAAGCGUCUCAUCCUGGAAAAAAACGAGAUAAUAGUUUGAUCGAUGACGUUAGAAGUUUUGAGCUUGACCUAUAUGUCAGAGUAGAAUGAAAUGUUUUUGUCCUAAUUGAAUAAAGUCUGGCAAAAAGGGAAAACGAAAGAGAAAAUUGAACAGAAGUUAUUUGGAACGGGAAAGUUAUAUGAGAUUCUUCAUCUAUGGCUGCUGUCUGAUAUUCUCUUUAUAUUCCAACUGGAGCUCUGAAUUGGCAUUGAAAGUGAACAUUACAGAAGAUAUCCACAAGAGCCUUCAUCAAUCGAUAAUCGUCAUCAACAACAAAUUAUUGCAAUUUUUACAAAAUCUGGAGUUGGAAGACAAACAUGAUGGACUGUCACAAGCACAUGAGUGCCAGUUGGCUGUUCCCAUUAUCUCGGAAUUUGGUACUCCUCAUGCAUAACCACUCUUAGAUGAUAAGGGAUCAUGCUUAGGAUCUCAAAAAGGAUGAUGCUUAUCAAUAAUUGUAAAUCAUACCAGGAAUACAUUCGUAGAUUCAAAAUUCUUAACUGUUUGUAAAUAACUGCAGAUGGUGGGACAUAAAUACCCACGUUGUAAUCUUUGUAAAGAGUGUUCAAUCCAUUACA
rnacentral:lncRNA from 1 species